AAAAGUUGGAAGGGGGGAAACACCCGCUGCCAUUCUGAACACGGAAGUUAAGCCCUUCAGCGCCUAUGGUACUGCAGAGGGGACUCUGUGGGAGAGUAGGUCGUUGC
rnacentral:rRNA from 1 species